rnacentral:hammerhead_ribozyme from 1 species
AUCCAACUGACGAGUACCAAAUAGAACGAAACGCGCAUCUUGGAU